AAUCAGUGAUGACCUCAAGGAUUUCAUGUUCGUCAAUUAAAAAUCUAAGAUAUUGAAAUUCUAAUUUAAUAAUUUAUCUAUAAUAUAUAUGAGUGAAAUGAAAUAUGAUAAAAUCCUGGAAUAAUAUCUAUAAUUUAUCUAUAGUAUCUGCUCCACUAAAAUAAAAUGAUAAUAUCCUGCCAUCCUGGAAAUUGAGUGAUGCUAAUAUAAUAGAAUAAACUUUGCCUAAAACUACCAAAACUUCAAGACCCAUAAGUGAAAUCUAAGUCUUCGAUGGCUUCUACUCUAACACAAACCACACAAACCAUAAAUAGUUUCCACCUCUUCAUUCUAUAUAAGCAUACGAAUGAGUCAUACUGAUCAUCAUUCAUUAGUAAAUUAAGAUACAAUACUAAGAUGGCAUCUUCUAAAGUAUCUUCCAUGCUUCUCUUUCUCCUCCUUCUCGUUCUUGUGUUUCCCCAUAUGGAUAAAGCCCUUGGUGAAAAAAGACAGCUCCACGAACUUAAAGGCACAGAGCAUCCCGAUCAACUGAUGACGGUUGGAAGGAGCCUUCUCUUUCGCAUCCCUCCAUGCCCACCGUCCUUAUGUAAGCCUCGUCCGAUAAGAAUUCCUCCCCGACUUCGUACACCUCCACCCCCUCCACGGCAUUGAAGGUUUCCAAAAGGCAAAAACACAUGGAUCCCAAAAUAUUUGGAUGAAAAUAUAUUUUCGUAAUUCCUCACUAUAAAUGUAAUUCUGAAAUUUUCUUUCAAAAUAAAAAGAUCAUGCCACUCGGGAUGAUGGUAUGAUGAUAUGUUGUUGUAAGUUUUAAGCUAUUGUAUGAUGGUAUAUUUGUUGAUAUUAUUCAACGUAAAUAAAUAUAGUUUAUGGA